UUACGGUCAAAUCACGCUGAAACACCGGUUCUCGUUCGAUCACCGAAGUUAAGCAUCGUAGAGCCAGGUCAGUACUUAGAUGGGGGACCGCUUGGGAACACCUGGUACUGUAA